rnacentral:rRNA from 1 species
UACAGAGGGGGCAAGCGUUGUUCGGAAUUACUGGGCGUAAAGGGCGCGUAGGCGGCCGGCUAAGUCGAACGUGAAAUCCCCGGGCUCAACCCGGGAACUGCGUCCGAUACUGGCAGGCUUGAAUCCGGGAGAGGGAUGCGGAAUUCCAGGUGUAGCGGUGAAAUGCGUAGAUAUCUGGAGGAACACCGGUGGCGAAGGCGGCAUCCUGGCCCACUCUUGACGCUGAGGCGCGAAAGCUAGGGGAGCAAACGGG